UACGUAGGUGACAAGCGUUAUCCGGAUUUACUGGGUGUAAGGGGCGUGUAGGCGGGGACGCAAGUCAGAUGUGAAAACCACGGGCUCAACCUGUGGCCUGCAUUUGAAACUGUGUUUCUUGAGUACUGGAGAGGCAGACGGAAUUCCUAGUGUAGCGGUGAAAUGCGUAGAUAUUAGGAGGAACACCAGUGGCGAAGGCGGUCUGCUGGACAGCAACUGACGCUGAGGCGCGAAAGCGUGGGGAGCAAACAGG
rnacentral:rRNA from 1 species